CUCUCUCUCUCUCUCUCUCUCUCUCUCUCUCUCUCUCUCUCCUCUUGUGUGUUGGCCAACUUUCUCACUCUCUUUCCUCUCCCUGUCCUCAUGCCUUCUCCCUUUCUAGGACACGGGCAUGCGUGCUAGGUGUGCAUCCCCACAGGCCAGGUCUUGGGAGCCAUGGAGAAGUAGGAGGGGACGAAAACCAUGCAGGGCUGUGACUGUCGGUGUUAACUCGGUCUCUGUUCAUUGAGCGGGGCCGAUGUAGAUGGGAUUGGAGAGGGAGGCAGCGAUGAGGGCAAGAUUUCCAGCACCAAAAGAGCUCUGUGUAGGGAUAGUUCUUGCUUGGCUUUAUUAGAUUGCAGGGGAAUCGUCCAGGAGCCCUAGCCGCACAAGAAUAUGGCGGAAGUGGACCUGAGCAGCAUGAACAUCCUUCUAAGGAGACAUGAAUAGUCGUCAUGUUUCUGUCUUCUGCAUCGCUGGCUUACCAAGGGGAAACGAAGUCACGCGGCAGAGUCUACUGCCCUCACGCGAUGGAGAGCGUCGAGACUCUGAGCAUUGUUGAUGCCACGCAAAAGCCGUCCAUCUGGGAGCCGAGGAGACGCCGCUGUCAGUGAGAUAAGUGUCUGGUGUCACGAGGGCUCUGCUCACGCCCAACCUGAGUCCAGGUAGGGAAGCCCAGUACUGUAGGGCUGGGUUUGUAGGAAAAGGUUCCUGACUAGCUGUGGUCACGAGGGAGAAAAGGUCCCUAUUUUGAGAGGUUGCUCAUUUCUCUGGUCAGGAACGGCGUCUCCUCUGCAGCAGAAAGUUGCAUCCAGGAGGAUGACUCCAGGUGGUCAGUUGCUUGCUUUCCUCCCAUUUUCUCUCUCUCUCUCUCUCUCCUCUUGUGUGUUGGCCAACUUUCUCACUCUCUUUCCUCUCCCUGUCCUCAUGCCUUCUCCCUUUCUAGGACACGGGCAUGCGUGCUAGGUGUGCAUCCCCACAGGCCAGGUCUUGGGAGCCAUGGAGAAGUAGGAGGGGACGAAAACCAUGCAGGGCUGUGACUGUCGGUGUUAACUCGGUCUCUGUUCGUUGAGCGGGGCCGAUGUAGAUGGGAUUGGAGAGGGAGGCAGCGAUGAGGGCAAGAUUUCCAGCACCAAUAGAGCUCUGUGUAGUGAUAGUUCUUGCUUGGCUUUAUUAGUUUGCAGGGGAAUCGUCCAGGAGCCCUAGCCGCACAAGAAUAUGGCGGAAGUGGACCUGAGCAGCAUGAACAUCCUUCUCAGGAGACAUGAAUAGUCGUCAUGUUUCUGCCUUCUGCAUCGCUGGCUGUGAGUAAGAGGACAGUGCUUUGAAUUCCUCAACUGUACUCGCUGUAGUUUUCUUCACAGGCCGUGUGCUUCCUCGUUAGUUACGAGGCUCUGGGAUUAAGGCUGGGGAAGGGACAAGAGUCUCCUGGGCAAAGUGAGUAUUUUGGGUGCCGUUACAAUGGGUGCCUUCUAGUUGCAGUUGUAACGUUUUAAUGGGAGAUGGGUUGAGGGUGGAAUCGUGGGAUAUGGGAGAUGUGAAAUGAAGGAGACCACGCGACAUUGGAGAUGAAGAUGCUAAUUUUUUUUGUUUUCCCCCCCUUCGUUAGGUUUAGUACCAAGGAAAACGAAGUCACGCGUCAGAGUAAUAAGGCAUUAAAGAAGAAAUGGUUAUAAGAAAAAAUAAAGAUAAAAUGCUUUCUAAACUUAACAAACUAGGCUUGUGAAGUCCCUUCCCACAGGUUCCAGUAAUAUUGCUGCCCAAACUCUCAGGCCAGGAUCUGCUUCCAGAGUACAGCAGCUGUUUCUCUGAUCAUCUUAGGAGUUGAAAGGGAGAUGGGUAGGGAGAGAGAACUUGGGUGUUUUUGCCCUUCACUUUUAUAGCUCGGUCACCAUUUGAAAAACAUUUUCCUGAAUGUUCACCUUAAGUAAAGUUCUUUCUUGCUGAGAGCAAGGAGACAUGGAGUUUGGUGGAAGAAGGAGGCUUUGUGCUGUUUCUGUUCUUCUGUGUAUACUACUUCUUUCUUACCCCUCUUGUCCUCUGUGGAAUCUGUUUACAGCUGAAAUGCAAAUUGAGGCAAACGCACAUCUCUUUCUUUAGGACAAGUGUGCUUGACCAGUUCCACCUAAUCAGGUUAUGUGAAUUGGAACUUGUGCUUUUAAUACCCUAUAGGUGGAAUUUCAUAACUUUACACAGACUGUUGCUACAGCCAUUUCACCAAGAUAGUAUUGAUCACAGAGUUUCAAAUGCUACCCCACAAGGCAUAUUUUGUCCAAAGAUUGUUACAAUAGUGUGUAGGGUGUGAAUACAGGGGUGCAUUUGGUCACGGUGGGCUGGGAAUUAUCCAUUUGUGGAGGGCUCUCUAACCUUACCCUUCCCUGGAAAUUGCCAGACAAUGAAGGGAAGUGGAGAAUUCUUGCUCGAAUCCCAAAUUGCUGGAAAUCUCAGACUGGCUGGAGCUGGUAUGAUUUCCCAGUGGAGUCAGUUUUUCUCCCUGGUGGAUUAUGAUUUUCCCCAUUGUAAUUAGUUGCAAUUUAUCUACUUCCCCACAGCCCCUCACUAGGUUCUCUAGGCGUCAUCUCAUUGCUUCACAUUAAAGCUGCUGCCCUUUGGGUCUGUAUGUUCUGGGGUAUUUGCUGUCAUGAGUGACUGCGCCGGCUUGGGCAGGUGCUGGGCAAGGGGGGGGUUGUACAUUUCUGAUGAAGAAUGCUUUGUGUUAAAUAAAAUUACCCUGUGA